UCUAUUAAUGUCAUUUGUUCUGCAAAUUCUAUUUCACUCACUUCUUGCCAUCCUCCAGCUUGAAGAUCAGAAACACUAUUAGACAAACGAGGAGAAAGACGCUCAAGAUGCAAAAAAGCAAAAAAAUCAUCAUUCAUUUUUGAGUGUGUUGUUUUCAUUUUUGUAAAUACUUUU
rnacentral:ribozyme from 13 species